GCGAGAGAAAGAAAGAGGCGAAGGUUUAUAAUGACUUUUUUGGUCUAAUUCUUUUAGGUGAGGUCCCUUUUGGAUCCGUGGUUUUGUUUCUGUGGCCGUGGACUCGCUUUGGAUCUUGGUUAUUUUCCCUGUUUGGGGAAUGGCAUUCGAAUUGUGCCUGACUGUUCUAUAGGUGGGGGUUAAUCACAAGUGGGUUCUUACUUUAAGCAUAGUUAGAAUUUUGUUGCAUGCAUACGAUAG
rnacentral:lncRNA from 1 species